GUAGUCCACGCCGUAAACGAUGAGUGUUAGGUGUCUGGAAUUAAUCUGGGUGCCGCAGCUAACGCAUUAAACACUCCGCCUGGGGAGUACGCACGCAAGUGUGAAACUCAAAGGAAUUGACGGGGACCCGCACAAGCAGCGGAGCAUGUGGUUUAAUUCGACGCAACGCGAAGAACCUUACCAAGUCUUGACAUAUUACGGAGGUCCUUAGAGAUAAGGACUUAGGACUUCGGUCCACUGUAAUACAGGUGGUGCAUGGUUGUCGUCAGCUCGUGUCGUGAGAUGUUGGGUUAAGUCCCAUAACGAGCGCAACCCCUUUUGCUAGUUACCAUCAUUAAGUUGGGGACUCUAGCGAUACUGCCGGUGACAAACCGGA
rnacentral:rRNA from 1 species